GGGGGUCUAGCUCAAUGGUAGAGUGCGUGCUUAGCAUGCACGAAAUUCUAGGUUCAAUCCCUAACACCUCCA
rnacentral:tRNA from 1 species